rnacentral:lncRNA from 1 species
GUGAAGUAGUGUGUAUGUUAUGUAGUUGAUUUAGCCAUUCUGCAAUGUAUACAUAUAUCAAGGCAUCACGUUGUACACCAUACAUAUGUAUAAUUUCUCUUCUUUAAUUAAUUUUUUAAAAGCUAUUUUGAUGAAGUUUCAAAUUAUCUGCAAAAAAAAAACAAAUUUCACCUAUAAAUCUCCUUCACUUCAAUUAACAUUGCUUUUUUAUACAAAAGAGUUAAAUGUUUAUGGUAAUACAAUUUUAAAAAGAUCUUUAUGUAGUGACAAUUCAAGUUUGUCAGGUACGGAUUAAAUGCAAAAACAUUUUACUCUAGAUAACAAUGAGAUCGUAAGUUUUAUAAUUUUAUGAACAACUUAGUGCUUCUCGAAGAUAUCCCUCUUUAUUGACCAACUUUCUUUAUUAAGAAAUACGCAUUUUUAUAUUGAUGUUAUAUUUCUCUCUUUUUUUUUUUUUUUUUUUUUUUUUUUUUUUUUUUUUUGAGAUGUAGUCUCGCUCUGUUGCCCAGGCUGGAGUGCAGUGCCGCGAUCUCGGCUCACUACAACCUCCGCCUCCCAGUCUCCCAGGUUCAAGCAAUUCUCAUGCCUCAGACUCUUGAACAGCUAGGAUUACAGGCUCACAUAUUAUCUUCAUCAGUGGAUGAAAAGCAACAAUCUAAGUUCUAUUUUGUCUAGUCAAGUUGUAGGAUACAGAUCUGACUCCAUAAUAUGGUUGGAUGCUCCCUCCAAAUCUCAUGUUGAUAUGUGCUCCUCAGUGUUAAAGGUGAAACAUGGUUGGAUUUCGUCUGUUCUUGCACUGCUAUAAAGAGGCUGGACACGGUGACUCACAUCUGUAAUCCCAGCACUUUGGGAGGCCAAGGCAGGCGGAUAACGAGGUGAAGAGAUAGAGACCAUCCUGGCCAACAUGGUGAAACCCCGUCUCUACUAAAAAUACAAAAAUUAGCUGGCUGUGGUGGUGGGUGCCUGUAGUCCCAGUUACUCGGGAGGCUGAGGCAGGAGAAUCACUCAAACCCGGGAGGCAGAGGUUGCAGUGAGCAGAGAUCAUGCCACUGCACUCCAGCCUGGCAACAGACCGAGACCCCGGAAAAAAAAAAAAAAAGCAAUAUCUGAAACUGGGUAAUUUAUAAGAAAAGAGUUUUAAUUGGCUCAUGGUUCUCCAGGUUGUACAAAGCAUAGUUGUAUCUGUUUGCUUCUGGGAAGGCCUCAGGAAGCUUCCAAUCAUGGCAGAAGGCAAAGGGGUUUCAGGCACAUCAUGUGGCAAAAACAAGAGCGAGCAAGACAGAGGGUGGUGGGGGCUUGGGCAGAGGUGCCACACAUUUUUUUAAAUGACCAGAUCUUGUGAGAACUCUCCAUCAUGAAUAUAGCAUCAAGCCAUGAGGGUUCUGCCCCAGGAGCCAAACACCUUGCACAAGACCCCACCUGCAGCACUGAGAAUUAUAAUUCAACAUGGUAUUUGAGCAGGGACAAAUAAAUAUCCAAACUAUAUCAAAGGUGUUUGGGUCAUGGGGGCAGAUUCCUUAUGAAUGUCUUAGAGCCAACACUGUCGUAAUGAGAGUGUUCUCACUCUGUUAGUUCAUGAGAUAUCUGAUUGUUUAAAAGUGUGUGGAAUGCCCCUUCUUAUUCCCUUUUGCCAUAUGAUAUCUGCCAUGUGAUAUCUUCCAUGGGAUUGUAAGCUCCCUGAGGCCUUCACCAGAAGCAGAUACUGGCACCACAAUUUCUAUACAGCCUGCAGAACCAUGAGUUAAUUAAACUUCUAUUCUUCAUAAAUUACCCAGCCUCUGGUAACAACACGAGGAUGGACUAUCACAUUCUAGCUGGAGAUAUAAGAUAUCUAUAAUUUACUCUUAAACAAUUUUAGCCUAUGAGGUAGAAUGAAAAGAGUUAGAAUCCCAAUAUAAUUUAGUACAAAAUUUUGUACUCAAUAGUGUGGAACUCAGCAUCUAGCAGACAAUUAUGAUGCUUACUUUUAGUUGCUAACUUGGAAAGGCUGUGGUACUUUGUUGUUUCAUCAAAUACCAGUAUGGAUGUUGCUGUGAACGUGUUUUUCAAAUGGGAUUAACAUUUAAAUCACUAGACUUUGAGUAAAGCAGAUUACUUUCUAUAAUGUGGAUGGGCCUCAAAGACAUCAGCUUCCUGAGGAGAAAGAAAUUCAGGUUCAGCACUGCAACACAGAAAUGCUCCAUGAGAUUCCAGUUUUCCUGGCUUGCCCUUGCAGAAUUUCAACUGAAGACUUCACCUUUAGCUCUUACCUGAGUUUCCAACCUGCUGGCUUGCCCUGAAGAUUUAGGACUUGCCAGCCCCAACAAUCGCAUGAGCUAACUCCUUAAAAUAAAUCUCACUCCUUUGGGAGGCCAAGGC